CCCCUAGUAACUGCGAGUGAAGAGGGAAAAGCUCAAAUUUAGAAUCUGGCAGUUUCGGCUGUCCGAGUUGUAAAUUGGAGAAGUGCUGUCCGCGCUGGCCUGUGCACAAGUCCCUUGGAAAAGGGCAUCAUAGAGGGUGACAAUCCCGUCUCUGGCACAGACCACCAGUGCUUUUGUGAUGCGCUCUCAACGAGUCGAGUUGUUUGGGAAUGCAGCUCCAAAUGGGUGGUAAAUUCCAUCUAAAGCUAAAUAUUGGCGAGAGACCGAUAGCGAACAAGUACCGUGAGGGAAAGAUGAAAAGAACUUUGGAAAGAGAGUUAAACAGUACGUGAAAUUGUUGAAAGGGAAACGCUUGAAGUCAGUCGUGUCUCAUUGAAAUCAACCCGGCAAAUUUUGUCUGGUGUACUUUCUGUGGGACAGGUCAGCAUCAGUUUUGACUGCUGGAAAAAGGCCUUGGGAAUGUGGCAUCUUUUUAAGAUGUGUUAUAGCCCUUGGACCAAAUACAGUGGUUGGGACUGAGGAACUCUGUGUGACACAUCCAGUCACAUCUCAGGAUGCUGGCAUAAUGGCUUUAAUCGACCCGUCUUGAAACACGGACCAAGGAGUCUAACAUGCAUGCGAGUGUUUGGGUGGAAAACCCAAGCGCGCAAUGAAAGUGAAAGUUGAGAACUCUGUCAUGGAGUGCAUCGACGCCCGGUCUUGAUCUUUUAGUGACGGAUCUGCGGUAGAGCAUGUAUGUUGGGACCCGAAAGAUGGUGAACUAUGCCUGAAUAGGGUGAAGCCAGAGGAAACUCUGGUGGAAGCUCGUAGCGAUUCUGACGUGCAAAUCGAUCGUCGAAUUUGGGUAUA
rnacentral:rRNA from 1 species